UUCUAUGACGGCUGUGCGCGGGAGAUCUCAGGAUCUGCCGACUUUACCUCUGUAGUCGGUUCGCCAACCUGCGUACAGCUGUCACCCUC
rnacentral:antisense_RNA from 1 species